rnacentral:lncRNA from 1 species
ACUCAACUUGUGCUCAAGUGUCUCUUCCACCCUCAGAUGAUUCAUCGAAAGCUGACCGAAUUCCCAGUGACAGGAGUAGACUGCCCUUCAUCUUAGGCAGAUAUCACAAGGCUUUUCCUGAGUGACUAAGGAAAGACUUAUGUCCCAUGAUGUGGUAAGGCCCAAUGGACAUAAAACAUAAAAUACCUCUCCAGAGAAAAAUAUAGAAUCAGAAAUUAUGAUUUUAUAGAAAAUUCAUAUUUUUAAUCAGAUUCCUUGGAUAACUAAAUUCAUUGGACUAAGUAUUAUUUCCCAAAUCAAGUGUCAUUAUGUUGUACAUUCUGUUUGUUAAACAUCUGACACCUAAGCAUAUGACAUCCUUUCUUUGUGCUAUAAAUUUUAUUUUUGCCUAUUGUGAGUAUAUAUUAUUCUUUAUACUGAAUUUUUAAAAAAUUAAUAAAACAAUUUAUAAAUAUGGCAAA